rnacentral:lncRNA from 1 species
CUGCUGCGAUAUCAACGCAAGUCAAAGGCUCACUCCGGAGCGACACUCGUGGGCGCGACCCAACUAAGUAUGCAAGCGUGUCUCUGCCGAGCUCAAACAGCCUCACACAGGCUAUAGUCAAUGCAAAUGGGUUAAACUGGUCUAACAAAUAAAGCUCACGUACCCUUGGCACAACCUGAUACAAAAUACAAAAAUCUGGGUCCACCGUCGGUCCCGACGGCAUCCGACAGUCUAAUACAGUCUAACUCUACUGUAAAAACAUACUCGGCCCCUCAGCACGAGCGUAAUCUUAACCUGCACUAGUCUGGAUAUCCACCUCACACUAACAGCAGUGAUACAAAAGAACAACAGCUCCUAAAGCUAAAUUCGGUUACUUUUCGAAAAGUAACAGU